AAAAAAACUUCUAUAAUUAUACUUAAUAUGUUUCUAAGGUAUAAUUCACAUUACACAACUAUGUGAUUGUAAUGCAACUUAAGGAUUGUUCUAAGGUGUUGCUUGAAGAUUGUCUAUCAAAAAGUAUAAAACAACCUUGUUAAUAUUUAGAUUAAUAUAAGAAAGCAUAUUUGUUAUAUAUUAUAAUAAUAAGCUCUCUUAUUUUCUUAUUUAAUUU
rnacentral:lncRNA from 1 species